rnacentral:rRNA from 1 species
CCUACGGGUGGCAGCAGUGAGGAAUAUUGGUCAAUGGGCGUAAGCCUGAACCAGCCAAGUCGCGUGAGGGAUGAAGGUUCUAUGGAUCGUAAACCUCUUUUAUAAGGGAAUAAAGUGCGGGACGUGUCCCGUUUUGUAUGUACCUUAUGAAUAAGGAUCGGCUAACUCCGUGCCAGCAACCGCGGUAAUACGGAGGAUCCGCGCGUUAUCCGGAUUUUUUGGGUUUAAAGGGUGCGUAGGCGGGCUUUUAAGGCAGCGGUGAAAGUCUGUGGCUCAACCAUAGAAUUGCCGUUGAAACUGGGAGUCUUGAGUAUGUGUGAGGCAGGCGGAAGGCGUGGUGUAGCGGUGAAAUGCUUAGAUAUCACGCAGAACCCCGAGUGCGAAGGCAGCCUGCCAAGCCAUGACUGACGCUGAUGCACGAAAGCGUGGGGAUCAAACAGGAUUAGAUACCCCUGUAGUC